UACGUAGGGGGCAAGCGUUGUCCGGAUUUAUUGGGCGUAAAGAGCGUGUAGGCGGCCAAGCAGGUCCGCUGUGAAAACUCGAGGCUCAACCUCGAGAGGUCGGUGGAAACCGUUUGGCUAGAGUCCGGAAGAGGAGAGUGGAAUUCCCCGGUGUAGCGGUGAAAUGCGCAGAUAUCGGGAAGAACACCCGUGGCGAAGGCGGCUCUCUGGACGGUACUGACGCUGAGACGCGAAAGCGUGGGGAGCGAACAGG
rnacentral:rRNA from 1 species